CCUUGCUGGAGACAGCCUUUGGGCUGUGAAAUGACAGAAAUCUGAUGCUGAGCUUGCAGAAUUUUUUCUAGACUGCAGCCAGGAUAGGCUGCAUGCUGAUUUUACUUCAAGCCAGUAGGUGGCGCCAUGUUCGCGGCGCGACACAAGGACAAACUGCGGCAAGCAGAGAUGGAGGACUCAUCGACUGCUCCACGAUCCUUCAGGAGUGGAGAGGAUGUAGAUGCUGACUUUCCUCAGGUUCACCAGUGGGACAUGUGGUUUUGGAAGACAGCUUCAGAGAGCACUCCUCACUGUGGCAAGCUUCCAUUUCUGGGCAGCUGAGAAUAGCUUCCACCAUGCCAUAUUCCUCAUAGAGUCCAUCCAUAUCAAUGUUUUUUAGU